rnacentral:rRNA from 1 species
CCUACGGGAGGCUGCAGUGAGGAAUAUUGGUCAAUGGUCGGGAGACUGAACCAGCCAAGCCGCGUGAGGGAGGAAGGUACAGAGUAUCGUAAACCUCUUUUGUCAGGGAACAAAGGCGGGGACGUGUCCCAGGAUGAGUGUACCUGAAGAAAAAGCAUCGGCUAACUCCGUGCCAGCAGCCGCGGUAAUACGGAGGAUGCGAGCGUUAUCCGGAUUUAUUGGGUUUAAAGGGUGCGCAGGCGGUCUGUUAAGUCAGCGGUCAAAGCCCGGGGCUCACCCCCGGCCCGCCGUUGAAACUGGCAGUAUCGAGUUGGAGAGAAGUAUGCGGAAUGCGCGGUGUAGCGGUGAAAUGCAUAGAUAUCGCGCAGAACUCCGAUUGCGAAGGCAGCAUGCCGGCUCCACACUGACGCUGAGGCACGAAAGCGUGGGUAUCGAACAGGAUUAGAUACCCUGGUAGUC